GACGAACGCUGGCGGCGUGCUUAACACAUGCAAGUCGAACGGUGAAGGAGAGCUUGCUCUCCGGACCAGUGGCGAACGGGUGAGUAACACGUGGGCAACCUGCCCCAGACUUCGGGAUAACGCUUCGAAAGAGGUGCUAAUACCGGAUACGAACUCCUUGGGCAUCCUUGGAGUUGGAAAGUUUUUCGGUCUGGGAUGGGCGCGCGGCCUAUCAGCUUGUUGGGGAGGUAACGGCUCACCAAGGCGACGACGGGUAGCCGGUCUGAGCGGGCGACGCGCCGGACUGGGACUGAGGCACAGCCCGGAGUCCUACGGGAGGCAGCAGUGGGGAUUAUUGCGCAAUGGGAGAAAGCCUGACUCAGCAACGCCGCGUGAGGGAUGAGGGCCUUCGGGUUGUAAACCUCUUUCAGCAGGGAAGAAGCGAAAGUGACGGUACCUGCAGAAGAAGCGCCGGCUAAGUACGUGCCAGCCGCCGCGGUAAAAC
rnacentral:rRNA from 1 species